GCGCCCGUGGCGGAAUUGGCAGACGCGCUGGAUUUAGGUUCCAGUGUCUACGGACGUGGGAGUUCAAGUCUCCCCGGGCGCACCC
rnacentral:tRNA from 1 species